rnacentral:rRNA from 1 species
CUAGCGGCGGACGGGUGAGUAAUGCGUAGGAAGCUGCCCGAUAGAGGGGGAUACCAGUUGGAAACGACUGUUAAUACCGCAUAAUGUCUACGGACCAAAGUGUGGGACCUUCGGGCCACAUGCUAUCGGAUGCGCCUACGUGGGAUUAGCUAGUUGGUGAGGUAAUGGCUCACCAAGGCGACGAUCUCUAGCUGGUUUGAGAGGAUGAUCAGCCACACUGGAACUGAGACACGGUCCAGACUCCUACGGGAGGCAGCAGUGGGGAAUAUUGGACAAUGGGCGCGAGCCUGAUCCAGCCAUGCCGCGUGUGUGAAGAAGGCCUUCGGGUUGUAAAGCACUUUCAGCGAGGAGGAAGGGUGGUGUGUUAAUAGCACAUCAUUUUGACGUUACUCGCAGAAGAAGCACCGGCUAACUCUGUGCCAGCAGCCGCGGUAAUACAGAGGGUGCAAGCGUUAAUCGGAAUUACUGGGCGUAAAGCGCACGUAGGCGGUUUUUUAAGUCAGAUGUGAAAGCCCCGGGCUCAACCUGGGAAUUGCAUUUGAAACUGGAAAACUAGAGUGUGUGAGAGGGGGGUAGAAUUCCAAGUGUAGCGGUGAAAUGCGUAGAGAUUUGGAGGAAUACCAGUGGCGAAGGCGGCCCCCUGGCACAACACUGACGCUCAGGUGCGAAAGCGUGGGGAGCAAACAGGAUUAGAUACCCU